GACCGAUAGCGAACAAGUACCGUGAGGGAAAGAUGCAAAGAACUUUGAAAAGAGAGUUAAAAAGUACCUGAAAUUGCUAAGGGGGAAGUGAUGGACAGCAGCAUGUGUUUCCUUG
rnacentral:rRNA from 1 species